CAGGGGCGUGGCUAGGGAACCCACAGCCCGUCAGCGCCACCUGCCACCUGCCACGGGCCACCUGCCACGGGCCUGCUGCGCACCGGGCAUCCCUUAGGUGGCUUCACCGUGGCCGUGAACAUUAGAGGCAGAAAGUAAGGCUCAGAGAGGCUAAGUGGCUUCCCCACAAGCAGAUACAAUAUCUGGGAAGCCGAGCCUAAGAUCUGCAGGAGCCUGCAGAGCUGGACUAUGCCAUGUUGCUCAUGCUAAAGCCACGAGUCGCCCGGGCGGCCAGGAACAAGAGGAGGACAAGACUUGCCAGAGGCUUUCGGGACCAAAGCUUGAGCUGUAAGCCAG
rnacentral:lncRNA from 1 species